rnacentral:rRNA from 1 species
ACGGAGGGUGCAAGCGUUAUCCGGAUUUAUUGGGUUUAAAGGGUGCGUAGGCGGUUAUAUAAGUCAGCGGUGAAAUUUUUCGGCUCAACCGGAAACAUGCCGUUGAUACUGUAAAGCUUGAAUAUGGGUGCUGUGAGUGGAAUGCGUAGUGUAGAGGUGAAAUGCGUAGAUAUUACGCGGAAUAUCGAUUGCGAAGGCAACUCACAAGGUCAUUAUUGACGCUGAGGCGCGAAAGUGUGGGGAUCAAACAG